GUCCUACAAACAAAGGCCUAAAAUGACCAAAAAAUAAUCUUAGAAAAAAGAAAGGUACUGUAUGCUCAAAAAAUAUGGUGAAAGCAUAAAAUGGUAAUCUCAAGCCCAUCAAGCAACAACAGAUGGGCAGUUAUAACCACAU